AUUAUAUAACAAUAGCAUAAUAUAUAUUAUUUUAUUAUUAUAUUAUAGUGUUAGAGGUCUUUUAGGAAUAAAAUUAAAAAGGUUAUUCUAUAUGGAAAAAUGACCUACCCACCUCCUAGGUAGGUAAGACUUUCCACUCCUCUAUUUUAUGGAUGAAUGCUACCCAUAGGAAAAUACACCUAGAGAAGUAUAAGAAUAUAAGAAAGUUGAUUAAUGAGAAAAUUGAUCAAUUUUUUUAUAAUAUUUAACUACUAAAACAUGGAUCCUUGGGUAUCAAGUAUCAGGC
rnacentral:lncRNA from 1 species